UUCUCCCCCAAUUCUACUUUGUCCAGCAGAUUGACAGUGCACAGCAGACCACUGCUGAACUGUCAGUUUCUGGACCAACUUCCAUAAAUCGCACUGAUUCUGCCCUUGAUCCACAUAUUUAUGCCGUGAAAAACUUGUUCUUCCACAUCAGCAGCGGGAGCAUCAGGGUUUGGCUUUAUAUGGUUGUAUACGAGAAAUCCAUGUCGGAUAUUUGACAUUUAAACUGUGUGGAGUGUUUUGGAAGAACGACCCCAUAAUACAUCCUCCACUGCUUCCACGUGCACGAGAUAUGAUGUGACAGAUGCCUGGUCACUGCUGGAAUUUGUGCUUGGCCAGACAAACAUGAGUCAAGCAAUUACUGUCACUUUGGAGGAUGAAUUAAACACAGAAGCAUAUGCACGUCCAAGUGCACGGUGAUUGAUUUCCAUCUUAAUCAAAGCGGGCAAACAAGGACUCGGAUGCACAGCACGCAGACCCAGGAGAGGGACACAUGGAGGAAGGAAGAACAGAAUAAAAUGAGUUAUGAGUUCCUGACAAGAAAUACAUACGCAAAACCUGAAGCCCAAACACAUGGCUGUGAACAUGAGUGAGGAAAAUGGUCGUGACUUUUAAAGAGCAGGCAUCAUCGUGACAACAGCUGUUGGGCUUCCAAAAGAUUCGUAAUUACACGUACCUUUCCACCUUCUUCUGACAUCAUUCUGCCGUCUCCAGCCCUCCUCAAGAUGAUCUGUGUUGAUGAGGUGAGGAGAGAGCGGAGGAAACUCUGC